UCUAUGUUUAAGAUAGACUAAAGGUGGAGGCUAAUUUAAGGAUAAAAACAUUGCAGAGAUGUUAUUAUCCCAAAAAUAAACACUAUAAACCUGGGAAAUUUGGGGUUAAGAUUUCACUGUUCGUUAUGAAGACCUUAGUGUAGCUGGCUAUAACAGGGCAUACUUACCAUAUACAAGCUCCAUAUUCACCAUAAAAAUCUCCUUUUCAGUGUAUACAACAUAAAUAAUUUGGUGUACAUUUUUUAUUUUCUCUUUCCAAAGGAAUAUUAUCAUAUUGAAUAUACAUAGUUUAGUAGGUUAACAUCACUGCAUAAACAAUGAACUAUCCAUGAGCACUGUAUCAAAGUAGAAACAGACUACCUCCACAGUAACAUCUUUGCAGCUGACAGCAAAGGAAUGUAUUUUUGCCUGAUGACUAGGUCACAGAGCAGACAGCUUAUUUAUAUAACUUGAUUUACCAAUGUCCUGCAUAAGGAAUGAAACCUUGCUCUAAAUUGUAAUCCUUUGACCUCUAAAUGGCCAGUGAUUUAUAGCACCACAAAGAUGGUACACUAUACUUAACAGUUUGAGGACACCAUUUAAAGGGAACUUUUACACCAUAACUACAUUUGUAAUAAUACACUUGCAAUUCCAAUUACAGACCAUUUGCUGAACCAAGAAAUACUUUUUAUGUGUUUUGAAAUGAAGAAUUCACCUUUGUUAUAAAUAUAUUGUACUCAAAUGGAAAACAGUUUUCAGAAUAUAUAUCCAAAUUCAUAACACCUAAUAUUCAAACACUAAGUACUGGAAACAGAGGGAAAGAAUGAGAUCCAUGGAAGUCAAAUGGAAAAUAAAAUGAUACAUCUGAUGUAAAAGCACACUAUGUAAACAAGAUGAUGUCAUGAAAUGUGACUCAAUUUUCUCUGUAAGUUAGAGUUACUAGCUGUUUUACUCAAUAAAGUUGUCCAAUUAGGU